UAAAUUCAUGUUUUCUUUACCAUCUUUCACAUAGCAGUCUCUGAGUUGCCUUGCUCUAGCCUAAGCUGGAAGAUAUAUUUUGAAACAGGUGUGAAAACUACUCCUGGCCUUUGAUCCUGUUCUGGGAGGCUCACGUGUGACCCACAUAUAAUUGUGGCCUUCGCAGCCAGCACCGGUGGGAUCUGUGUUGGGACACCUGCAAGCUGGAACAUUUCUCACCUGUUGAAAGACUGUGCCUAAUCCUGGAAUUACUGGCAUCUGUAUAUCAUUUCAAUGGUAAAUUACAGCUGGGAUAUGCUAACCCCGAAGCGUGAGUAUCUGCUGUCCAGUUCUGUAAUAAUGCGUUCUGUGAUUGCUUAACAAGAGACUGAGCACAAGAAAUACAAGAGUACGCAGCCCAAGAGUAGAAAUUUGCAUGGAACGAGUAACUAUACCUCUGACCGCAUAUGUAGGAUACAGCAAUGUCUUGUUUUUCUUGUGUGUUAUUACAGUCUAGCAUCAUAAGGAAACUCAGAAAUAUUUCAUGAUGUGCUAUGAUGUAAGAACUAUUUUUAUAUCCUGAAUGGAUUUUAAUGUCUUUGGAAGAAAAGUGCUGUCUCUCUCUCUCAUGUACACAAACGUUCUGCAUGUUAUCAGAAUAAGAUGGGAAAACAUAUUCAGAUCCUUCUGAAUAUUUAAUGAAGAUGUGCUACUGACAACUCAAAAAAGCAAAAGAGGCUACAUAGGACUAUUAUACCAUUCUUCACCAUCCUGCUCAGUAUUUCAACGUACAAGUGGACUUGUUCUCUAGGCUCUUUUAGAUAGGCUUUCAUGUUUUGAAGUGUGCUUAGCGUGAUUUUGUUAAUGCUGGCAUUAAACACAUGGCUGGUGUUUUUGUGUUGUUUUUUUUAAUCUUGAAAAGCAACUUUCAAUUGUAAAUUUCAAAGUAAAUUCCAGUUUGGUGGUUUACUGAGGAUAAAUUCUUCCACCAGUCAAGACACAGAGCUUGUUAGGGGUUUGUUUUUGGUUUUUUUUUUUUUUUGAUGAGGGGUUUUUUUGUUUUGUUUACUUCAGUAUUUUCUGAAAGUAGUGCUGUUUUGGUGCCUGGAACUCUAAACUUUCACAGAGUUUUCUUUUUCGCUUUUGCAUUUCAAAGAAAAUAAAGACCUGGGAUACCAUCAUAGCUGUAACUGGACUCCAGGAAUAUCUGUAUUUCAGUCCUUAAAUGAUGAUACCUAAGAAGUAUUGGUUGGGAACCUAUAUGGAUGUGUCCUCAUCAGUAUACUCCAUCAUAUGACUACUAAGAUUUUCUUGUUUGUUUGUUUGUUUGAUUUUGUUUACCCUCUUUUUUUCACUCCCUGGGAUUUCAGCUUAAGUUGAUGAAGUGCUGUAAAUCCCACUUUAUGUUUUAAGGCACUAGGCCAGACACUUUUAAUAAGAUGAACCAAGCCUGUAACAGGAAAUAAAAAAAAAAAAAGGACCCCUGAGAAGUUCUGCACUUUCUCUCCUGAUGCUGGCAUCAUCCAUGGAGGUACUGUUAGAGCAUGAUAAAGCACUCUCUGAGGUAGAACUCAUUCUGUCUUUUUUAAUUGAACUUUUGACUCUUUUUUUUUUCUUUACAACAAUAAUCAUCUGUUCUAUUACCUCUAUCUUUCCAAAGUGUGUGUUCUGAAGAAGAGAGUGAUGGUAUUAGCAUAUAUUCUGUGGAAAAAGAAAGCCUAUGUAACUGGACUGAACAUCCAUCCUUGAAAGAAGUUAAUUUCUCUGGAUGUUUAAAAUUAGAGAUAGGUGCUCAUAAAGGAAGGCAGCAGUAUCCUUCUCAUGAAAGGUAAUGAGACUUAGAUGGCAGAAGACAUCUUAGACAUUAGUACAUCUUUGUGGCUCAAUCCCCUUUCAGAAAAGGUAGUAGUGAGAUGGAUUGUCCCUGCCUCUAGAGCCCCUCUUGAGGCAAGUAUGACUCUUAGCCUUGAUUUUGGAAACUGCAUUGGAGGAGCAGCCUGCCAUAAAUCCUGUGUGCUCUGCUCCAUUACAGUUUUAUUGUCUAUCAGCCAAAAUAACAUGGGCAGCAUCACCUUCAACUAGGGAGGGAGAAGGAAGUGGCAAUUUGAAAUGCAAAUUAUAGCCUAGCUUUUUGCUAGUUAGUCUGGAGAUUAGUCUGGAGGAAAGGAGGCUGAGGGCAAAUCUUAUUGCUCUCUACAACUACCUGAAAGGAAGUUAUAGCCAGGUGGGUAUUGGUCUCUUCUCCCAAGUAACAAGCAAUAGGACAAGAGGAAAUGGCCUCAAGUUGCACCAGGGGAGGUUUAGAUUGGAUAUUAGGAAAAAUUUCUUCACCAAAGGAGUUAUCAAUCAUUGGAACAGGCUGCCUAGGGAAGCGGUUGAGCCACCAUCCCUGGAGGUAUUUAAAAGAUGAGUAGAUGUGGUGCUUAGGGACGUGGUUUAGUGGUGGACUUGGCAGUCCUAGGUUAGCGGUUAAAUUCGAUGAUCUUCAAGGUCUUUUCCAACCAAAAUGGUUCUAUGAUUCUAGUUUUUGUUAACUGAGCCAAGCUCAGCAUUGGAGAUUUUCUCCACAGUAAAGGGAGGGGAGAGAUGUUCCCCUAAAGGGCCAUUCAGAGCAGGAGUCUGACCUAGUCACAUCAGUGCCACCAUCUCCUCCUCCCUAAGCUUGUUGGAGGAUUCACAGGAGAUUAAUCUUACUAGGAUAAAGUUAUCCUUUGUGAAUAUCUCAUGAUGUGUCAUCGAUGAGAUGUAAUCUUGCUCUUCAUGACACAGGACAUUUCAAAGCUGCAUAAGGCUCUGCACACCACCCUUGGUUCACAACCUGCUAUCUGACCACGUUUGUGUGACAGCAGACAUGAACAUUAAAGUUUUGCAUCUGUGUUUUAUGAAUGUUCCAAAUCUGGGUUUAACAAUAUUUGCUCGGGCACUGAGAAAGUCUGGGAAUUUGAUCUUAGCAUGCACUUGGAGCCAAAAAUAUAGAGCAGCAAAUGGGUAUACGAAAGACCUGGCCGAAAUUCAUUCCUGUUAUCCCAAAUGUCACUCUGAACAUUCUCAGAGACUUUUAGACUCCCAAUAGACUCAGUCUUGCCAGUGUCUCCAAAUGUAAUGUGCUGGACGUGUCAGAAGCAAGUCUCAGUCUGCAUAUUAAUUUGCUAGCUUUACAAAUGUGAUUCUUUAAAAGAUUUUUGUCUUUGUAGUAUAGAUUUUUGUGAUUUAAACUUUGAAUUAACACCUACUGCAAUAUCAGUCUUAACAGCCUCUGUCCCAUUACACAUACCUGCAAGCAUGCUUAGGAAUGCAAAUGAAUUACUGGUACUGGAGGGAUAUUUAACUACCAUCAUUCAGUAAAACACAUUCACUAAGUGGGAAAUGGUGUCUAAUUUCUCAAUGCCCUAGCAAAGUCUCCUCAGUUGUUCCAUAAGAUAAUACAACAACGAUAUCCAGAGUAUGGGUGUACGCUUAAUUUUUGUUUGCUCAAGUACCACAUUACACUUUAAGCUGGCCUUCAAUCCACAGUAAUCUUUUAAAAAAGUUUUCCUUUGCCUUUAUUUUGAGCUUUAUGUGCAAUGAUAUAUGGCAGUAGAUGCCAAAUUCAGCUUGCUACACCAUACCUGCUCUGACUAGUUAAUAGCUUCCUGAUCCAUCACUGCUGUAUGUUUCUUGCUUUGCAGGUAACUAUCUUGUCACUUUUGAGACCAAAAUAUCUAUUUAUUUUUUCUUUAUCAAUUGUGUUUAGAUCAGUGUCAGCUGUGUAUGAAACCUGUUUGGAUUAAGAUUUCUUUAUGCAUUUGAAAUGGCCCAGAUUCAUUUAAGAGAUUGUCUUAAAACAUCUGUGAUAGACUUGGGCAAUUUUUAUUAUGCUUCUGAGCCAGCUGCUGACUGAAGUCAAAAACACCUCACAAUUCACAGUUUUGUUUGGCUUUAGGCUUAAAUCCAGUGCAUGGAUGGGAAGGGCUGAACUCUCUACUCCAAGAUUCACUCAUCUCUUUUGGACCUGUAAAAUACUGGAGUGCAGUUAUUUUUAGUAAUAUCACUGAAAAGGUUACUUUCCUCCUACAUGAGGCCCUGUUUUAAAUAGUAAGUUAUUCUGUAAUUAUUGUGGUAUUGUUGUAUUGCUAAAAUACUCUAUUCAAAUAUGAAUGACAUUGCAGUAAGUCCUCUAGGAGGAAUACAGAAUCAUGCUACCAUCAUAAAAACAUCACAGUCCAAAGCAACU